AAUAGAUACCCUGGUGGUCCAUGCCCGUAAACGUUGGGCACUAGGUGUGGGGGACAUUCCACGUUUUCCGCGCCGUAGCUAACGCAUUAAGUGCCCCCGCCUGGGGAGUACGGCCGCAAGGCUAAAACUCAAAGGAAUUGACGGGGGGCCCGCACGAAGCGGCGGAGCAUGCGGAUUAAUUCGAUGCAACGCGAAGAACCUUACCAAGGCUUGACAUGUGCCAGACCGCUCCAGAGAUGGGGUUUCCCUUCGGGGCUGGUUCACAGGUGGUGCAUGGUUGUCGUCAGCUCGUGUCGUGAGAUGUUGGGUUAAGUCCCGCAACGAGCGCAACCCUCGUUCCAUGUUGCCAGCACGUAGUGGUGGGGACUCAUGGGAGACUGCCGGGGUCAACGUCGGAGGAAGGUGGGGAUGGACGUCAAAGUCAUCAUGCCCCUUAUGUCUUGGGCUUCACGCAUGCUACAAUGGCCGGUACAAUGGGUUGCGAUACUGUGAGGUGGAGCUAAUCCCUAAAAGCCGGUCUCAGUUCGGAUUGGGGUCUGCACUCCG
rnacentral:rRNA from 1 species